rnacentral:rRNA from 1 species
ACGGGAGGCAGCAGUGAGGAAUAUUGGUCAAUGGGCGGAAGCCUGAACCAGCCAAGUCGCGUGAGGGAUGAAGGUAUUAUGUAUUGUAAACUUCUUUAGACGUAGAGAAAUAAGCGGGACGCGUCCCGCGAUGCUAGUAUACGUAGAAUAAGGAUCGGCUAACUCCGUGCCAGCAGCCGCGGUAAUACGGAGGAUCCGAGCGUUAUCCGGAUUUAUUGGGUUUAAAGGGUGCGCAGGCGGUCUUUUAAGUCAGUGGUUAAAGCGUGGGGCUAAACUCCAUCCCGCCAUUGAUACUGGAGGACUUGAUUGCGGUCGAGGUUGGCGGAAUUCGCCGUGUAGCGGUGAAAUGCAUAGAUAUGGCGAAGAACUCCGAUUGCGUAGGCAGCUGACCAGGCCGUAAAUGACGCUCAUGCACGAAAGUGCGGGGAUCGAACAGGAUUAGAUACCCUGGUA